GGACAACCUGCCCUCGGGAGGGGGAUAACCCCGGGAAACUGGGGCUAAACCCCCAUAGGUGAUGGAUACUGGAAUGUUCCAUCACCGAAAGUCCGCAAGGAGCCCGAGGAUGGGUCUGCGGCGGAUUAGGUGGUUGGUGGGGUAACGGCCCACCAAGCCUAAGAUCCGUACGGGCCAUGGGAGUGGGAGCCCGGAGAUGGACCCUGAGACAAGGGUCCAGGCCCUACGGGGCGCAGCAGGCGCGAAACCUCCGCAAUGCGGGAAACCGCGACGGGGUCAGCCGGAGUGCCGAUGCUUGCAUCGGCUGUCGGGGAGCCUAAAAAGCUCCCCAUAGCAAGGGCCGGGCAAGGCCGGUGGCAGCCGCCGCGGUAAUACCGGCGGCCCGAGUGGCGGCCACUAUUAUUGGGCUUAAAGCGUCCGUAGCCGGGUUGGUUAGUCUCCCGGGAAAUCUGGCCGCUUAACGGUCAGAAUUCCGGGAGAUACUGCCAGCCUAGGGACCGGGAGAGGCCGAGGGUAUUCCCGGAGUAGGGGUGAAAUCCUAUAAUCCCGGGAGGACCACCUGUGGCGAAGGCGCUCGGCUGGAACGGGUCCGACGGUGAGGGACGAAGGCCAGGGGAGCAAACCGGAUUAGAUACCCGGGUAGUCCUGGCUGUAAACGAUGCGGACUUUGUGUCGGACAAGCUAUGAGCUUGUCCGGUG
rnacentral:rRNA from 1 species